rnacentral:ncRNA from 2 species
GGUGGUCCGCAUGACUGGCGACAUGAGGUGGGUUGACCACCGGGAAGUGUGGAUAUGGUUCCGCGCCGCUCGCCUGGGCAUUCUCC